rnacentral:rRNA from 1 species
UCCUGGCUCAGAGCGAACGCUGGCGGCAGGCCUAAUACAUGCAAGUCGAGCGGUUCCUUCGGGAACAGCGGCGGACGGGUGAGUAACGCGUGGGAACGUGCCCUUUGGUACGGAACAACUGAGGGAAACUUCAGCUAAUACCGUAUGUGCCCCCCUUCUUAGCGGGAGGGGUGGGAAAGAUUUAUCGCCAUUGGAGCGGCCCGCGUUGGAUUAGGUAGUUGGUGAGGUAAAGGCUCACCAAGCCUACGAUCCAUAGCUGGUCUGAGAGGAUGAUCAGCCACACUGGGACUGAGACACGGCCCAGACUCCUACGGGAGGCAGCAGUAGGGAAUCUUGCGCAAUGGGCGAAAGCCUGACGCAGCCAUGCCGCGUGAAUGAUGAAGGUCUUAGGAUUGUAAAAUUCUUUCACCGGGGACGAUAAUGACGGUACCCGGAGAAGAAGCCCCGGCUAACUUCGUGCCAGCAGCCGCGGUAAUACGAAGGGGGCUAGCGUUGCUCGGAAUUACUGGGCGUAAAGGGAGCGUAGGCGGAUAGUUUAGUCAGAGGUGAAAGCCCAGGGCUCAACCUUGGAAUUGCCUUUGAUACUGGCUAUCUUGAGUAUGGAAGAGGUAUGUGGAACUCCGAGUGUAGAGGUGAAAUUCGUAGAUAUUCGGAAGAACACCAGUGGCGAAGGCGACAUACUGGUCCAUUACUGACGCUGAGGCUCGAAAGCGUGGGGAGCAAACAGGAUUAGAUACCCUGGUAGUCCACGCCGUAAAUGAUGAGUGCUAGUUGUCGGCAUGCAUGCAUGUCGGUGACGCAGCUAACGCAUUAGCACUCCGCCUGGGGAGUACGGUCGCAGAUUAAACUCAUAGGAAUUGACGGGGGCCCGCACAAGCGGUGGAGCAUGUGGUUUUAUUUCGAGGCUACGCGCAGGUCUACCAUCUUUUGAUAUGCCCCGACCACCACACAGAUCUGGCCUUUCCUUCCAGGACUGGACGCGCCGCUUCUGUGUCUGCGUUGCGCGGUCAGAGUGUGGUGUUAUUCUCCGCGGAGACUACCUCGCGCCUAGGUAAAUUAAUAGAUUCAGUCUACCAUCUGGCCGACGGGAGACCAUGGUUAGUAGCUCUACAGACCAUAUC